rnacentral:rRNA from 1 species
GACGAACGCUGGCGGCGUGCUUAACACAUGCAAGUCGAACGGGCCCGCUCUCUUUUUUGGGGGUGGGUUGAGUGGCGAACGGGGGAGUAUCACGUGAGUAACCUGCCCCCUGCUCCUGGAUAACUGCUUGAAAGGGCGGCUAAUACGGGGUGUGCCGGCUGGUCCGCAUGGGCCUGGUCGGGAUCGUUUCAUCUUCGGGUGUUUCGGUGGGGGAUGGGCUCGCGGCCUAUCAGCUUGUUGGUGGGGUGAUGGCCCACCAAGGCGGUGACGGGUAGCCGGCCUGAGAGGGGGGGGGGCCACACUGGGACUGAGACACGGCCCAGACUCCUGCGGGAGGCAGCAGUGGGGGGUAUUGCACAAUGGGCGGAAGCCUGAGGCAGCGACGCCGCGUGAGGGAUGGAGGCCGUCGGGUUGUGAACCUCUUUCUCCGGUGGUGAAGGCCCUGUCCGUUGCGGCGGGGUUGACGGUAGCCGGGUAUGAAGCGCCGGCUAACUACGUG